ACCUGGAGACAUCUCCAAGAUCAGGAUCUCAAAUUGCUGUGUGCAAGAGCAGAUUGCUGCCUGACGGCCCCAGCCCAGGGCCUCGUCACAAUAGGUGCUUGUCUGUGUUUAGAGACGGUUCUGGCACCGAAGCGCCUACAAACUGUCAACCAGCAGCACAAACUUAGAACAUACACAUGUGCUCAGGGAACAUUUUGCACAUUACCAAAAGGAAACCAGCGCCCGCCUGAAGUGGGGUGACUCAGCUCACAGCAAUACUGCACUGCUGCUGCAUGGGAAGAGGCUUGUGGACAAACUCAAUGGCCUUUAACA
rnacentral:lncRNA from 1 species